rnacentral:rRNA from 1 species
UAGGGAGGAAAAGAAACCAACCGGGAUUGCCUUAGUAACGGCGAGUGAAGCGGCAAAAGCUCAAAUUUGAAAUCUGGUACCUUUGGUGCCCGAGUUGUAAUUUGGAGAGGGCAACUUUGGGACCGUUCCUUGUCUAUGUUCCUUGGAACAGGACGUCAUAGAGGGUGAGAAUCCCGUGUGGCGAGGAGUGCGGUUCUAUGUAAAGUGCCUUCGAAGAGUCGAGUUGUUUGGGAAUGCAGCUCUAAGUGGGUGGUAAAUUCCAUCUAAAGCUAAAUAUUGGCGAGAGACCGAUAGCGAACAAGUACAGUGAUGGAAAGAUGAAAAGAACUUUGAAAAGAGAGUGAAAAAGUACGUGAAAUUGUUGAAAGGGAAGGGCAUUUGAUCAGACAUGGUGUUUUGCGCCCUCUGCUCCUUGUGGGUGGGGGAAUCUCGCAGUUCACUGGGCCAGCAUCAGUUUUGGUGGCAGGAUAAAUCCGUAGGAAUGUAACUUGCUUCGGGAAGUAUUAUAGCCUAUGGGAAUACUGCCAGCUGGGACUGAGGACUGCGACGUAAGUCAAGGAUGCUGGCAUAAUGGUUAUAUGCCGCCCGUCUUGAACCACGGACCAA